rnacentral:rRNA from 1 species
GUGGGGAAUAUUGGACAAUGGGCGAAAGCCUGAUCCAGCCAUGCCGCGUGUGUGAAGAAGGUCUCCGGAUUGUAAAGCACUUUAAGUUGGGAGGAAGGGCAGUAAGUUAAUACCUUGCUGUUUUGACGUUACCAACAGAAUAAGCACCGGCUAACUUCGUGCCAGCAGCCGCGGUAAUACGAAGGGUGCAAGCGUUAAUCGGAAUUACUGGGCGUAAAGCGCGCGUAGGUGGUUCAGCAAGUUGGAGGUGAAAUCCCCGGGCUCAACCUGGGAACUGCCUCAAAAACUACUGAGCUAGAGUACGGUAGAGGGUAGUGGAAUUUCCUGUGUAGCGGUGAAAUGCGUAGAUAUAGGAAGGAACACCAGUGGCGAAGGCGACUACCUGGACUGAUACUGACACUGAGGUGCGAAAGCGUGGGGAGCAAACAGGAUUAGAUACCCUUGUAGUCC